GUACAUUGAAAUGUGGAAUGGAUGAAGUCCCAAGAUAAGAAGAUACAGUUUUUUUGCAAUGUCGAGGGCGAUGUUGGCGGUUGUUCCCUACUCUUUCGCCGCCGUCAAACCGGCACCGGAACAACCACAUCGGAGUCAAGUCUCAAUAAAAACCCAGAAAAAGGCUUCCCGUAGCAGCACCGCCGGUUUCGGAGCCAAGAAAAGGGAACCUCUUUGGCAGUGCGUAAAGAAUUGCGGUGCCUGCUGUAAGUUGGACAAGGGUCCCGCUUUCCCCUCCCCUGAAGAAAUCUUCGACGAUCCUUCUGAUAUUCAACUAUAUAAAAGCUUGGUAGGCAUGGAUGGGUGGUGCAUCCAUUUCGAGAAAAGCACAAGAACAUGCUCCAUAUAUGCUGAUCGACCAUACUUUUGUCGAGUUGAACCAGAUGUUUUUGAAACUUUAUACGGAAUUGACAAGAAAAAAUUCAACAAAGAAGCUUGCAGUAGCUGCAUAGAUACAAUUAAAGCUGUUUAUGGCUCUCAAUCAGAGGAAUUGGACAAAUUCAAAAAUGCAAUUAGGAGCUAACUUACAACAUGAUAAUUAUCUUGUUACUCUUUGAAAUCACUCAUUGACUUUUGUGGUCAAAUGUGUGGUUUUGUAUGUAGAGGGAGACAAAGGAGAGCCUGAUGACUACCAAAACCAUUGUUUUUUAGCCUUUAAAAAUGGUAUAAUUCACUUUCUACUAAAAUGGUUGCAGACAACAUAAUGGGGGGACGUAGUUGAUAAUUUCAAUCACAACACAAAACCAUCAAACUUGUGAUUUUUAACAUCAAUUUUUAUUUCCAGAUGGAAUCCAACAUUUAAAAUCACAUCAAAAACAUAGUUGAUAGUUGAUAAUUUAGUAAUAAGAUAACACAUUAUAAAUAUAAACAAAAUGCAACUCUAUGCUUUGUGAGUGAAAUUCACUGUAGCUAAAUGUAUGUAUUGAUAUGCAUAAUGUACAAGUAUAUUAAUGCGUGAAUUUCAAGUCUAAUC